UUUUUCCCCUCACCCCCUUUCUACCCCACUGGCUGCUUUCAAGUUUUCUUUUAGGAGGGGCUUCACUUUGUGUUAUCCUUACAUAUAAAAAUUCCCAGUAAGUAUUUUCAGAGAUCUGUGAGGUCAUAUUAGCCUGGAUUCCCUUCAUGCUUCUCUGGUGGAGGUAUAUUUGUUAUUUUGUCACCUAUCGGAGGCCCUGAUAUAGCUGCAGGUGACUGGGAAGGGACAUCCUUCCUUUGUAGCAGUAAAAUACUCACAGCCUCCUUUAUCACAGAACGUGCACCCUGCAACAGCCUCUAAGGGAAUGAAAGCAGAAAAAUGCUGCAGCUGCCAUGAAGAGGCAAAAAUUGAAACUAGCUCCAGAUUUAAAUUUCAGAGAGAUUCAAACAUCAGCAUUCUCAGCACUACCUUUUCAAAAAUACAACGCAGGUAAGAGCUCACAUUUCAAAAAGUUCAAGUGUUUUUCAGUUUAGAGUUUGGGCUCCAGCCUUCUGAGAGACCUUGGCUUUGUAACAUCCCAAAAUAUAGUUCAGUCAAAAAUAACAUUCUCCUAAUGGAAAGUUUUCUCCCAUUUCUUCACUUGAUAAAGCUGGUCAAAACAAGCCCUAUUUUGCCUACAGGAUUCAUUACUGUGUUAUAGCUCUUUAUAUUAGACUAGGUUUUCAAGGUAGCCCUUGGAGAGACUGUAUUUCUACUUUGUAAUGAUUUUACCAUAGGAAAAGUUUAUCUAGAAAGAUGCCUGGAAAACAGUGAGGCCACCAGGGAUUUUUUUUUUUUUUUUUUUAAGAAUCUAACUCCCCCUUAUAGAGUAAUCAGAGGGAUGUGUUAAGCUUGCUGCAUUCUCUUUCAAUCUUUUGUUGGAGUAUUGCAUUAUCAAGUUGCUUGCACUGUGAGAGGUUCAAGCAGUUGGGUUAGUGCAAAGCACAGUGACCAAGCACAAUGAAUGCAAGUCAGAAAUAAAACUAGGUUUUGGAGUGCAGAGCGACUGAUCUCUCACUUUGUCACUCAAGCAGAUGUUGCCAAAGGUGAGGAGCAAUUUUUUUUUUCUUGAAUUUAACUUGGCUGCCAAAUCAUGUACCACCUGAAUAGCCAGACACUGCACAGCUACUGGUUAGAUGCUUUUCAAACCUGUUUUCUGCCUCAGGGCUAUCAGAUGUGCAGCUGAGGUAAAGAUUUUUCCAUUGUCAUUCUCCUUAACUUGAGGACAUACUGCUCACUGCAGUAAGUAAAUGGUUGGGCUGCUUUAGAUCAUGAGAGGGCUUAUUUAAUUUAGGUGUUUAACAGUAUUAUUCCCCUCUUUCCUCUAUUUUUAAGGGGAGUUCUGCCCAGUAUGGGAACAAGCUACUAAUGAGCAGAGGAGAACUUCAUCCCAGAAGAUAGUUAUUAGAAAUCAAGGUGGAGGUAAAUGUAGCUUGAAAGAUCCAACCAAAACUGUCUGCCAAACAUACUGCUUUUUGAUAAUUGUGGCCUUCCAUAUACUCCAGCUACCUUUUAAUCAGUGGGAAUUUGUUUACAGGAGAAUUCUGAGAUCUGGUAACUUUCCUAUCCCUUUUCCAGGCUAUCUGUUUACCUUCUGGUAUCUCAGAAGCAUUCAGCAAAUAAGUCUCCAGAAAGACUGUUUGAGAACAGCUCCUACACAAGACUGUAACAAUAUAAGGAGGUGCACUUCAGAGUAGAAAUAUGAACCCUAAUAAUAGGUUUUUACUUAACAAUAUAAUCUCAUUUUUAGAAUUCUUGGGUUUGCCUCCUUCCAAAACAGCUGUGCUGUCUUGAUAAGAUUUUUAGGUUAUAAACAAGCAAAUAAAUAUCAGAAAUUGGACUUGUACAUGAAUAGGACCUAACAUUAUUAUUUUCCACUUCCUUCCCUUCCCCCCCCCCAACCCCCCCAAGUAUUUUCAUAGUCACACAUUUUCCUGUAAAGUGUAACCAUUACUGACCCCAUUACUAACAAAUCUCUCAGAAAACCCCACUUAAUAGGGAGAAACAUGAAAACCUCAAGAAACAAAAGGUAUCUGAUUUCCAAACAGAAUGCCUAUUUAAGACCAAACCUCAUUAGGGACAAGUCCUCCAGGCAAACAUCCUCUCAUUAUUUAUUGUCAUGGUUUACUGCAGAUUCCUCCGUGUAAUUCACAGUUGGCUUUUAAAUAAAUCUCUCUGUAUGGUAAAUGUGAUAUUCCUUCAUUUAAGCAGCAGGGUUAUCUUAAAACUGAGCAAGACCAAAAUUUCAUAUUUCAAAACUCAUAAACAGCUUAGAGCAUGACAGUAAUGCAAUGACGAGAAGAAAAAGUAUGACUGACAACAUAUGGUUGAAGAGUUUGGUAGCAGUGGUUAUACAAUGUAAUUCAUUUCAUGAUAAUAUAAGUCAGACUGCAAAGCAAAAGCAAUUAGGAAAUAAGUGAUGAUAAUGAAGAAUUACUCAUGGUGAGGAACUUCUCUAUAGUGGAAGGAUGGUUCUGUGUUCUAAUCAACAGUUAAGGCCUUAAAGCCCUGGAUUUAAAGCUCAGUAUCCUAUCCUUGGUCCUGAUUUUUAGAGGGUCAGUUGGGCCCAAGAGUAUGAAAAGUUCUGAGGUACUCUCAUCUGUUGGUGAAAUUGGUCCACAACUCCUACAGCUCAAGUGAGCAUCUGGAAAUGGGCAGGAGACAGCUGGAAGCUGGAAAGCUUCUCUUUCUCCUAAGGCAUACUGUGGUUUCCUUGCUUAUCUUAUCCAGGAGAUGGAAGUCUGGGAGAUCUCCCUACAUACUUUAAUCACAUCAAAGGGUUAACUAUGAUUUUGCCUAAGAUGAAAAGUGCUUGACCAUGAAUUCCAAUUCUUAUUGCAAUAAGAUGCUGAGAAUGGUUAAAGGAGCCCGGAGUACCUCCAUAAUUUGCAUCUCUGAUUAGAACAGGGUGAAGUUCUCUUCAAGGAGAAAGUCCUCUGGUGUGAUCCAUUUUUCUCCUGUAGCUAAAAAUUCUUGGGCUGAUUCAGCACCUGGGCUGAUGAGUUGGCCCCUGGAAGCACUCACCAUGGUUGCUCUUGAGGAAGCUGGAGGGGCAGCGCAGCGGAAAGUUUCUCUCCUCACCAGAGGACAUGCACGCAGCCCAGUGCUUGCCAGGACAAUGCCUCCUCCAUCCCUUUCUUGGCUCAGAGCACAGCGUCUACCACUACUCAUAAAAAAUACUGUCUCUUAAAUUUCAUAUUUACCACUUUGCGUAACAGAUUUUCUUAAACAAACAGAAAGCUGAUCAGGAUAAAUACCAGAAUAAGUGAAAACAGUUGUUUUUAAUCUCAGUGUGUUGAAUGCAGAUAUUGGCGUGAACAGAUUGCCUUUUUUAGUACACCUAUUAUAGUGUCACACCCAUUCUUUGCUGAAUGCAUACCUAUGAGACAGUGUGUGUGUGUGUGUGUGUGUGUAAUAAAACCCCUGGAUUAUUAAGCAUUUUUUCUAUUCUGCUAUGUCAGUCCAAAUUCACUUUGAAUACAAGAAUGAUGGAAUUGUUCAAUAUAUUGUGUGCAGAAGGUUACGACCUCUGCAGUCAGCCCCUGAAACACCACUGCUGUCUUCUUACUUCUGGGGUAGCUGAAAUGAAUUACAAGGCAGAGUCAUAAAGCCAGAACAUUUUACUAAAGCUAAGACCUCUGAAUAUGCAGUAUUUAAGCAUUUUUGUCCUCUCUCUCGUUCCCAAAUUACUUAAAAUCUGUGUAAGAUUUCAAAGAUGAAAACCAAGCAUACUGUUUUCACUUUUUAUCUUGUUUUUGAACAAGGUUUCAAUUCAACAACAGCUCAAAUGGGUGAAUAGCCUUUUGCAUGUAAUAAAAAUACCACAAUUUCUUCAUCCUUUUGUGUACACGCAUGGAAAGAGACAUCUUAAAAUUGUUAUCAUACAUAUCAUCAAGUAGAAAGACUUGGGUAUGAUUGGUUUGAAUGCUGUGGAGGAUAUACCACACUGAGCCACUCUUGUAACCCAGCCCAAAGGAUGGGUGAAUGCUUAUUGUUUGAAGGGGACAGAAGGAAUACUGUCAGUGAAAAUCAAAGACAAAAGUAAAACUGCCUUCCUCUGCACGUGAAGACAGUUCUUGUUAGUGCACAGACUGACCCAGACAAAUUGGAACACCUAGUGGAAAGUUAUCAUCUCCCCUCUGCAUUUCCACAUUAAUUGAACAUAGGCAAGAGCUCCAAACAAUCAGUUACUUUUCUUCCACACACACAGCAUCAGAAGGACACUCAAAAGAUAACCGACAAGCUAAAAUUCAAGUUACUGAAAUUUAUGAUUGCUGGCUGUUAUUCAGUAAAGUAUUUUAACACCAAAAUUUUAAUAAAGCUGCCGUAAAUAUUCCGUGCCCAUGGUGCCAAGGUUCAGCAGAUUCCUCUGUUAACACAACAGGUCUAACCGAGGGAACUUGAAGACUUCUCUGGCAAGAUCCUCUGAACAGAUGCAACUUGAAUAAUCUUUUGAAAAAUAAAGCCCUAUUUCCCCAUGCCUCAAUGGUACAAGGCCUCAAGGAAAAUGCAGACACAGCAAAAGGCCUAAAAGCCCAAUCUUAACCUCAGCACGCUCAGGGAAGAGCACUCUGCCUCCAAUUUGGGGAAGUCCAGGCUGUCCCACUCACAAAACGUUCUCUUUGUUCUCCACAGGAAUCACCUUGUACUGCUGAUAACUCACUUCUUUCCAAGGGUUUCAGGUUUAGGAUUCCCUUUGAUGCUAGAUUCACUGCUGGGAACAGUAAACUACUCUAGCUUUGAUGGAGCUGCAAUUAUUGCCUAUUGUCAGCUCUUCCGUUGUUUCCUCUAAAACUCUUAUUUAUGUCACCAUUUCAUUUUGGAUAGGUUUCCGCCUUGUUCCUUUCUGAUUUCAAUAAUGCCAUUCAGGGAAGUUAUAAAUCAGACAGCCUGAGGAGCACAUAUCAUUUUGAUAUAAGAAAUACAACAUGUCCUCAUUCUUUUUGCUAUAACAUACACGACUGAAAUCGCAUCAGCCACACCGGCGGUCCUUUGUCAGCUCUGCCUCUGCCUGUGCUGUUGCUACUGGAGUGGCAGCUGCAGUGAGAAUCACGAGAGCACAGAAGCAGUCUGGUGUGGGGCCGAGGGGUGUCCUGUUCUGCACACGUGUUGGCGCCGACAUGCCCGAGGAUUUCAGCUGCUUUGGAGCAUUUAAGUGUUACAUCGGGAGCCUAGUCUGGUAAUGGUAACCUAAGCUACAAGCAGCAGGGAGGUAUUUGUGCUGUGCUUUGCUUAGAGAAGCAUUUCGAGCCUGUGACACUGUCUGACACUGACUGAUUAAGAUACAGGUACUGCGGCGCUGUCAGGAAAGAAGAAAGAGGACUUGCAGUGCUGUUGCUGCUCACGGAUCUCCAGCAGAGCAGCAGCAAGGCACCAGCACACAGCAGCACCGUGCUCCGCCACCUCUUCUGAGAAUUACUGCCUAGCCAACCCUGAAGCGAUUCAGUAUGCACCACAUUUCCAGCACAGCCUGCCCCUCCACACAGACUCUGAAGGCUAUAUACCACGGGUGAUCAGAGCCUCAUGACAGGGGAGGGGAUUGUGAUGGAAAGAGUCAAAGGAGCUUUGAGAAGGACAAAAAUCUGAACACACUAAUGAGUUUUAUCAGGAAACCAUUAGGAAGACUGCUGCUGCAGCAAACAAGACCAGAACCUAACAGGGAGAGAAAGAGAGCUACCAAGCUAUGCUACAGAUACAGACAGGUCUUCAUUUUCUCUAUGGCUUUAAAGACUGCCAUUUUUAAAAAGGAAGCAUUCAAAUCUCUCUCUGAAACUCCUUUUUCUGGGUAUCCCCAAAGCUCACUCUACACCAUUGGUGUGAACUGUGAAAGGGAUUGCUUUGCCAGGCAAAGACAUUUAUCACUUGUGUAUUCUGUCUUGAGGAUAGGCUUUUCAGUUUUACUUAAAUUCUUGGGGCUUUCCCGGGUAGAAGAGACAGGUUCCCCUCCCCAUACCUUCUCUUGGCAAGAGAUGAAGUGUUAUUUCCCUCUUCUGAGGGUGAUGCUGAAGCACUCAGAAACAGUCACACAAGUUUUUAUCCAGGGUGUCCAGACUUAGGAAUGCCCUUCAGCUCAGAUCUACAUUUUCUGCCUUUUGGGAUCACCUCUCCUCCUUAUAGCUUGUGCUGGCAGGAAUACAAGCAACAAAAAGAAGUCUCAGCUGUCAUCAGAAACCUGAGAUCACUUCAGACUAUAGUUCUCAUUUGUGUGCCAAACCAGGUGCGUUUGUCGUCUUUGUGGUGCAAGUGUCCUUGUCCUCCAUGAGGCAGAGGCUGGAGGAGACUGGAAGGAUUCUGCUCUUCCUUGCACCAGGAAGGAGGCUCCUGGAAGCCCAGGAGCCUCUGUUCUCCAUUACAACUGUGCUGUUUUCAUCUUGGCUUUCUCAAUAAAUAUUUAGUGGACAAUUCACAUUUUCCCUCCUGCUCUGACUAACAGAGUUGAUUAUUGCUAGGGUCAGGUGAUUACAUGAGCUACUUAAUAUUCACAGGCAGCAGUAGGAAAUAAGUACAAACCCCAUCUCCUCAGCUUUAAUUACAAUAUCAGUGUUAUCAAAUUCCAUGUGGAUACACCUCCCAAAUCAGCUCCAAACAAUUUCAGAUGCGUAUACUAACAAGAUCCACAACAUCUUUAACUCCUGAUCUUCUGUCAUUACAAUAUAAUUACUCUAAUGCAUCUUUACUGCACAACACCCAUCGAAAAUAAGAACCGUUGAGUAUACCAUGUAAUUAUAGAAUAAAGAUGUUAAUGUAAGCUUCCAGCUUAAAGUGACUCUCAGCAUUUUUCUAGUUCCAUUAUUCAACAUUCAUUGGCAACUUGACUCCAACCUGCUCCCCUUCCUCUGUGUUUUCAUGACAUACUUAUGCAAUUCUGGCACUGCAGUGUCCCAGGUAGCAUUGAAACCCCAAUAGAAAUACUGCUUAAGAUUCAAUAAGGUGGCAAUAAAGUGGCCAAGGCUUUUUGAUUUUAGCUCUGGGGAUAGAGGUGAGAAAUAGAGAAAGGUGAGUCAGGGAAGAGACAAUGCAGUUUGCACCUUGCUGAGCUAUGGGUCAGUCUGGGCCUUGUGUAAACAUGACAGAAGAGGUUAGGAGAGAGAUGAUAGAGAACUGGUAUUGGCUAAUUAAGAUAGGGAAUAACCUUAAUUAAAUGCUGACAGAGGAAGAAACAAAAGUCAACUAGUUAGGGAGAACAGGAUAAGCUUCAGCUGGCCUUUUGGCAAGGAGAAAUGUCUGUAUUUCAGAAGACAAAGCAUAAGCCAGUGGAAUAACUGAGUCCAAGCCAUAAGGAUUACCUCUCCUAACUAUAGCUCUGCAAGCAAACAGAAAGACAAAUAAGAACUCUCUGGUGUGUUUGAUUUCCAGGAAUUGACUAAGAUAGGAAAGAACAAGAUGGAUAAUACAGAAAGUUUUGGAGAAGAAGCAUUCCUCCUCUGAAAGGUACUUCAGACCAAAGCGUGCCCUGGUACAAAGGCCUCAUAGGAGGACCCCAGAGAUGAUGUCAGUACAGCCAACCCUGGGAGUUCAAAAAUCAGAAGACAAACCAAAAUAGAAUCACAGGAUUGAUAUCAAAGGUGAAGAUUGAUUCCAGUGGUCUUGCAAUCAGACUGUAAAUCAAGGGAGUUGAGACUGACAGCAUUUCAUUGGUAUGACCAAGAGAAGAGCCAGAUCAUUCUUUGCCGAGCUAUAGGACUAUGGAGAACCAUUCUAAUAUUUCUUACUCUCUUACUACUUCACUAUUGAUAUUGUGGCAGGAUUUGUAAUACCAUUAGGCUGUGAUGCCAAGAGCAAUCCUUUUAAAGAGUGUGACACCGAAUACAGUCUGUGGCAAAUGAUGCCUUCAGUUAGAAAGUAUAAAUGUGACAGAACUCUUCCAGAACCUUUUACAGAGAGUGUCUUGACCAAAAAGUGACAAAAGAGAAAACGCUGCUUCAGCCUCUGUAACACAGCACUGAGACAGAAAAAUCUCAACUGAAAAUUCCUUUCUGUGCAAUGAUUGAUCUCACUUUCAUUUAAAGUACUGUGAGUCACAAGGAAUCAUUGAAAUCAGUUGGAACUACAGCCCUAUACAUUAGAUGUCAUAGGUAUAAAAAAUAUUUUAAGAUAUUUUUACUGGGUCACUUAGCUCGGCUCCUUAGUUUUAUUUUGGUGCUAACAUUUAUCAGCCUUGCUUGUCCAAACUAACUCUUAAAAUAGAAAUAUUUAGUGAAGUUUGACAGAAAUUAGCAUACUGCACUGGAUAUUCAAAUAGCAAGUAAUACAGAAUUUGUCACAGUGGGUCCAUCUACUAUUCUAUGGCUCCUCUUAUACUUCAUAUGACCAUAAAACAUCUAAAUGACAGUAAGAAAAAGAAGUGUAGAAGUGUUCCUUCUUCAUCAUAUUUAUCUGACUCUGAAAUUUGAUCAUCUGUACAAUCACAGCUACAAACAGUAUUAGUAAACAUAAAUUACUCAGCCCUAUUAGAUAAGGACACAUUACCUGUUUUCUGUACCACUGAAAAUUCCAUGGACUACCCUAGAUAAAAUACCCUACUCUAAAUAAAAUAUUUCCUUUUAUUUGUCCUAAGUUCACUGGCUAUAAUUGCACAAGAUAUUUCUUUCAUUGAAAUAGGGAAUGGAGAAAACAGCCCUACUGCCCUUCUGAAUACUGGACUGUUUUCCAACUGCUUCCUACUCUUGCCAAACAAAACCACUCUAGGAUGAGAAAACACACUUUUGAGAAGCAUCUGUCAUACCAACAUGGUGUCAUGAAAGAACUAUAAUAAAUGAGGAAUUCUGUGCUUCUGGUUAUUAUACUGAUUUGCUAGAAACUUGGCCUCUUUGUUUUUGGUGGUUGUUUUUGGGUGGGUUGGAUUUAUUGCGGUUUUUUGUUAUUGUUUAAGAAUACACCACAAAUACACAUAUUAUUUUCAUGGGGUUUUGUUCCUCUAGAAAUCAUUUUAUCUGGUCAUAAUUUAGGAUCUCUAAAAAUGCAUCUCCAAGUGUGAUCCAGUUUUCUGUUGUAAUGCUGCAAACAGAUGGAAUUAAAAUAAUACUGAUGAAAUUGACAAUGUUUUGCAUCACUACUGGUUCACUGAUCACUGUGUAUUCCACUACUAUCUGUAUGCAAGGCCUUCAACACCAUACAUGUAUAAAUAUUAAAUUUAAUGGAAUUAAAUG
rnacentral:lncRNA from 1 species